rnacentral:tRNA from 2 species
GCUACCGUGGCUCAGUUGGUAGAGCAGCUGAUUCGUAAUCAGCAGGUCGCCGGUUCAAAUCCGGCCGGUAGCUCCA